rnacentral:rRNA from 1 species
AGUGAACGCUGGCGGCGUGCCUAAUACAUGCAAGUCGAACGAUGAAGUCCUAGCUUGCUAGGAUGGAUUAGUGGCGCACGGGUGAGUAAUAUAUAGUUAAUCUGCCCUACACAGAGGAACAACAGUUGGAAACGGCUGCUAAUACCUCAUACUCCUAUUUGACAUAAGUUAAAUAGGGAAAGUCUUUUCGGUGUAGGAUGAGACUAUAUCGUAUCAGCUAGUUGGUAAGGUAAUGGCUUACCAAGGCUAUGACGCGUAACUGGUCUGAGAGGAUGAUCAGUCACAUUGGAACUGAGACACGGUCCAAACUCCUACGGGAGGCAGCAGUAAGGAAUAUUGCGCAAUGGGGGAAACCCUGACGCAGCAACGCCGCGUGGAGGAUGACACUUUUCGGAGCGUAAACUCCUUUUAUCAGGAAAGAAUAAUGACGGUACCUGAUGAAUAAGCACCGGCUAACUCCGUGCCAGCAGCCGCGGUAAUACGGGGGGUGCAAGCGUUACUCGGAAUCACUGGGCGUAAAGGACGCGUAGGCGGAUUAUCAAGUCUUUUGUGAAAUCUAGUGGCUUAACCACUAAACUGCUUAGGAAACUGAUAGUCUAGAGUAGGGGAGAGGUAGAUGGAAUUCUUGGUGUAGGGGUAAAAUCCGUAGAGAUCAAGAAGAAUACCCAUUGCGAAAGCGAUCUGCUGGGACCUAACUGACGCUGAGGCGUGAAAGCGUGGGUAGCAAACAGG